UGUUCUAGGACUGCCAAUGAUUGACUGAAAUUCCAGGAAGGCCACGGGCUGUGUUUUCUUUUGUGUUGUGCUUUCUCAAUUUCCAGAAUUCAGGACUGCCAGUCCACUGUUUGUCUCGGCUGCUGUCACAAGUUGUCCAACAGCUCUGUUGUUCAGGGAUCAUGUGGCAACUUGUGCAAAAUGUGGACCUAGUCUUCCUCAUGUGUGCUUGUACACACCAACUCAACAGGACCCUCAAGGCACAAGGGUGAUGGGCCUAGGCAAGGGAAAAUAAUGAAUGAAAGCAACUUUGGAAAGAAUUCAAGUCCCAAAGAACUAGGAAACUAGACAGAAACGAGACCCUUUCAAUUUGUGACUGUUUAAAUUGCCUAAGUUCCCCACUGGCAGAGCUGAAGAAUAAGCUUGAGUUUAAAAUCUAUUGACUUAGAUUUGCAUUUCUGGGAAAUUGUUUAAUAUUGAAUGAAUCAGAGGAAAGUUUGAUGGAGGGUUUGUGAGAGAAUACAUCUAGGAGUCGCACAGGAUGAUGUUGGUUGCAAUCUGUACCCCUGGAGGAAGAAUCUGUGGAUCAGCAAGGAUGGCUCCUGGGCUGAUGUCUAAGAUGCGUUCUCUUUGAAAUUCAAUUAGCCUAUAACAUUGAAUGCACAUAGAAAGUAAACUGCAAUGUUUACAUAAAACAAGAAAUCAAGCUAUUCCUCAACUGGUAAAUAGUCCAAAGAAAUUGACAAACUACGGAUAGCUAUUUCUUUUUUUUUCUUUUUUAUGAUAGCUGUUUCUUAAUGGAGAAAGGUUUGUAUCCAAGCUCAAUUCUUUCCCCACCAAAUAUCAGUUCCAUUGUGAACAGACAGAAGGCAAAGAGCAAACACAAGUCAGUUAUGAAGACAGAAAUCAGAGAAAAUUGUGCCUAAAAGAACAUACAUCACACAAUCCAGAACGAAGUUUUGCCACUGGGAGUGAGAUAACUCAGCUCAACCAAGAGAACUCGCCAACCAAGGGCGAGUUCAGAGGCACGUGCAGGGUGAGACAGAGCUGCAUCUAGUGCUUGGAGAAUCUUCCAGCUCACUGCACAAAGCUUCCUUCUCUGUGACAUGGCCCCCAUCUCGGGCUCUAUAGCUCUAGGUGGGGAAGAAGCAGCUUUCCAAUUUCCAAUUGCCCGGGCAAUCUGUGGGUCUUUGGGAAUUCCUUUGGUCCGCGGCCGCUCUCAUCUGUCUAUUAAAAGCUAUGGGGCUGAUGUUUGGGUGCCAAGAGAAGGGGAGAUCCUGGAAGUCAGGAGAGCCAAAGAAGGGGGUUUGCGCUCUAUACAUUCCCAUUUUCGUGCUGCCAAAAGGGAGGUUUCCAGCUUGGGGUUCGUAUUUUUCCUGUGGGUUUCUGCCUCUGGGCAGCUUGCACCGCGGUAGUGGCUCCUUGGCAAGGGUUCCGGCACCUGCACGGGGAGCGCGGUGGAGAGGACGAAAGAAAAUCCCACUGAGAAGGGGAGAGGGAUGAGAGAGGAGGGGCAGUCCCCAGGUGGUGAGUCCACACCCUUGGGGGAGGAGGGACGGUCAAAUACUAGAGAGUGUGGCAGCCGGGAACGAGCUCGGAGGAGGGGCGGCGGCUCCCGGCAGUGAUCCGGUGUAUCAGCCGCAAUCCCCCGGCAGAGGUGCAGAAAGAGUCACCCGGGGUGGGCGGAGGGGACAGAGCGAGCAUGACGCCGCCCCAGCCAGGCUCCCAGCCCCUCUCUGCCCGGCCGCUGUCCGGCUCUGUGACGUCAGCAUCACCUUUGUCACGUGAAGGCUUGGCAUGCUCGGUGGAGCGCUCAGAAGCGGGAACCCUAACGCGCUCUCGUAGGCAUUGCACCUGCGUGCGCUCUGCACUCUGGGUCGUGUAGUUCUCAUCCACGAAGCGGACCCGUUGGCACGGACGCUUAUGUUACGUCUCGGCUUGUCUUGUAUUACAAUCUCUCCGCUGCGUACGCCCCUCUCCCCACAAUGAGCUCCUAAGAUGGGAGGAAGGCUUGGGUGCUGGGUGUUCGGGGGGUGCGGACAUAGAAGUGCCCCACGGAGAGCUAAGUAGGAGUGCAGAGUGGUGCCCACGCCCCAUGCAGGGACCCUCUGGGACCCUCCCGCUCAUCUAUCCCGGGAAGGCAGAGGGCAGUGGAAGGUUGGGGUGGGUUCGGUCCUCGCUCUCCCUGCAGCCUCCGCUUCUUAACCGUCCCUCCGGGCCCCCCACCCCCACCCCCGGGAAGCUGUGGGGGGAAAGGGAGACCGAGAGACGGUACUCUCUGGGACCUCGGGUGACUCCGGGGUGCGGGAGUGCCCCAUACCCCGCUGUUAUGGUGGAAGGGUGGAAGUUUAGAGUCUAUUCAGGAGGGAAAAAGAAAUGUUCGCGUGGGCGCAGGGCCGAAUGUUAGGGCACCAGGGAGCCAGUCGCCGAGGGGAGCACAUUGCGCUACAGGGGCGUUCUGAAGCCUGUGGGGGGCCUUACAGGGGUUCCCAUAGCCCGUGGGGAGGGGGCCCAGCCGAGAACAAAGAAGCAGUGCAACGGUGAGAACAGCAGCAGCCAGCAAGGCAGUGAGAGUGGAGGGCAGUGUUGGAGAAAGCCGACGGAAGGAGAGUUGUCUAAGUUUGCCCUAGGGGAGGGGCUGUGAGAGACCGAGAGAGAAGAGGAUUACAGUACUGGGAGCUCCCUGGCAGCAGCUGGAAGUCCUCCAGAGCUGGGCAGCUGCCCCCUAGACCUGCCUGCAUGACUGUGAGCACUAGUCUUGAAGCCCACCGUGUGCCCACGGCCUCAGGUGGCUGGUGUAUGGCCGGGAUGGGACCAUGGAUCCCUACACCCACCGUUGGGAUGCCAUGGUCAGGGCCCUUUUUAUUGCACAGUGCAGAAAAGCUUUCCUAGUUGGGGGUGUUGUUUAAAUGGGGUGCCGGCAGAUAAAACCAAGGAUGUCUGGCUGCCAGAAUGGACGCCUUGGUUCCCAUUUGUUGGACCUUACCAUUAACCUGAAGUAGGGUUGUCAUCAUCCAUCUUCUCUCUGAAAGCUGGUAGCCAGAGGCACCCCUAAGAUCCCGCAGAGGGUGAAGAGACUGGAGCUCUCCUGGCCCUUCUCCCCAACUCCAUCCCACCCUCAUGCAGGCAUUUAUCUCCACUGAUAGGGAAGGAGUCCCAUUCCAGUGGGCUCAAGUUACAGAAGAAUCAAGAGAGGACCAUUUUCUAUCCAGGCACUGAAUUUCCUAGGCUGCCUCUUGUCCACUUAAUUUUUUCAUUGAAUUCCCUGAGUGUUGUUUGGAGAAAAUUUAAUUAAAAUUCAGGAAUGUUGAUA